rnacentral:rRNA from 1 species
AACGAACGCUGGCGGCACGCCUAACACAUGCAAGUCGAGCGCACCUUCGGGUGAGCGGCGGACGGGUUAGUAACGCGUGGGAACAUGCCCAGAUCUACGGAAUAGCCUUUGGAAACGAAGAGUAAUACCGUAUACGCCCUUCGGGGGAAAGAUUUAUCGGAUUUGGAUUGGCCCGCGUUAGAUUAGGUAGUUGGUGGGGUAAUGGCCUACCAAGCCUACGAUCUAUAGCUGGUUUGAGAGGAUGAUCAGCAACACUGGGACUGAGACACGGCCCAGACUCCUACGGGAGGCAGCAGUGGGGAAUCUUAGACAAUGGGGGAAACCCUGAUCUAGCGAUGCCGCGUGAGUGACGAAGGCCCUAGGGUCGUAAAGCUCUUUCAACUGUGAAGAUAAUGACGGUAGCAGUAGAAGAAACCCCGGCUAACUCCGUGCCAGCCGCCGCCGUAACAC